UACAGUUGAUUGUUACAAAGUAUAGUUCUAAUGUAAUUUUGCCUGUGUCAUGAUUUGUCGACAAAUGAUGGUAUAUUAUGAUGGACGAGUGGAAAUUUUGUUAAAUGGAAGCUUGAUGGACACCUGUUAAUGAGGAUAUACGUUCGGAAAUGAGUGUUCGCGGUAGGAAAUGAGGCUGAAAGCAUAUUUUGGAAUUAAAGGCGUCCACGCCCUGAUACAGCGGCGUGCCGAAUGAAAAAAGAAGUAACAUCGUAUAGGGCCAAUUAUCCUUGUUGACUAAAUGAGGUCAAUAUUCAAGUGAGACAGAGAGGCAAUGAAAAAAACCUUAACGAGGCUAAUAGUGUAAUAAACCGACUUAUGAAUUCGAGACACGCACGCUGCUGCCGGCAGAAUGCCAGAGAUUCGAUGACCUUGCAAUCGUUUGCUAUACUUGAGAUCUUUCCAAAUUUAUCAGUGGCAAAUAACAAAAUUUCAUAAAAUCGUGCAAUUCAAUCAUUUCACUGAUAGUUCUUAUUUUUCUUUGUAUUAAACCUUGUAUUAAUUUAACCUUUGUAUUAAGCGACCCAAACAAUGAUACAAACAAGUUUCAGAGAAAUUCAUCAUUAAAAGAUAACUCAAUCGACCGAUAGAUGUGUACGCGUUCAUCCUCGUGCAGUUGCAAUGCAAUGCCAGCUUUGAUGGGAUUGGCGAGCAACCCUACCGGUAAUGCACCCUCCGUGACGUAAGCUUAACCCAUAGAUGUUCGAAGACGUCAUAACAAAGAUUGAAGACAGUUCAAGUUCAAAUUGUUCUUAUAAUAUACAAUAAAUACUCAUGACAACGUGACUAAGACGCUUAAUGGACUCGAGGCACGAGCUUUAAAAGGAGAACAUUUGGACAGUGAAAAGAUAUAUAAUUUUUUGUGGUAUGAAUCAGCAGCAAUAAUUUGGGAAGGAUCGAUCGGAAAUCCGUAGAUUUCACGAAUUAUCUGGUGAACAGUUUGCACGACGUUGUAACAUGAAAUAGCCAUUUCGAUCGUGUGGCUGGAAAAAAAACAAGGCAACUAGGAGUAGAAAAAAGAAAGAAGAAACGAGAGUCCAUUCACGAGGAGUUUAGCUGGCCAAGGUCACGGUGCAACAAUCUUCCGGCUGUUGGUAUGCGAUCGGAUGGAAGGCGCAACGAAAGUAUGCGUGGGUGCACACUCUGGGUUCACCAUGGGUGCUACAACCCUUAACCUUUUCACGCAUUUACGCGGUCAUGUACCCCGUUGAUUCAUCUUUCUGAUACAACAAUUCAUGCUGCACAAUAUUUACGCAAUCAAAUUGAUAAAUAGUAGAAUUUUUGU